UACCAUGUGCACACCCCUUAGGAUCCCAAGUUCUGAGACUAAGGCCUCGGGGUUGAAUCUCAGUUAUAGAGUGUUUAAAACACAAGGUCCUGGCUUCAACCUCCACUACUGGAAAAAAAAAAAAUUACCAAGUUGUGGAUCAACGUGAGGCGAAUUCAUUCAGGAGUUUUCACAGGAGUUGAAGAAUUUCUCAAGUUUUCACUUACGGACGGUGGCCACUCCCACAUCCUCUGCACAUACAUGAGACAUCUUUGAAUGAAAACGAAGGCACUCCCAACAUUCCAUUCGAUGAGAGGGAGAGCUCUCGGCCGAGUGAAAAACGUAUAUUUCCUGCUUGCCAUGAGUUACAUGCAGACAGCUGCAGGCAGGUACAGAUCACAAUGUAACCACUGCAUGUGGGAAGAAAAGCUCCGCCCCCGCCCCCCCCCUCCACACCCAGGACCACAUACCCACUUCUAAUUCUUUUAUUUGGUUUGGCAUCUAUGAAGAGAAGUUAAACUUGAUCCAUACAGGGAAAUAUUAUACAUAUAAGACAGGAAAGCAUUCAGUUGUGAAUAAUGAGCAGGCUGUUAAUUUUGCUGGAAAUAAAAGAAGGCUAAUUUGCCAGUGAAUCUGUACUGGUUUUGCUCUGUCCCAAAGCGUUUAUAUAGCAUUAUCCUCAGGUGCUUCUUUGUUUAUUUGUCAGGUUGAGCAUUUUUGGAAUAGCUUGUGGACUUAAUAAAAAAACUGAUUUUUCUCCCCAACCCCUUCCUUUUUUUUUUUUUUAACCACUUCAAGGAAGGUGUGACUUCAUUUACUGAAUAAUGAGCAUGGAAUACCCCACUUAAUUACUUUCCCAGAUUCUCAUUGUAUCCAUGAAUCGAGGUUUUUUUCAUAAGUAUAAUUAAAACAUUUCCGAGUAGGCAGCAAAGGGAAAAACGGGAUUGAGGACUGGGUAAGCCUUCCUGAAACGAUGGGAAGAAGGCCAAUACUUUAGGCAAGUGCUCUCCCACUGGCCCCAGCCAACAGCACUGACACUUGAAACUAGCUGUCACUCAGGAACAACACAGGCCCUACCCACAGACUGCAGUUAGCAUCUGUAUCAUAAAGGUCAGGAAAAGCCUUCAAGACGAUAAAGAUGGAAAGCUUGAAAACCAGAGAUGAAGCAUAAAUACCAAGCAAGUGACUGACCAUCCUAACAAAGUCCUCUAUGCCAUGAAGCUUUAGUAGUUAAGGGAAUGUGACAUAUGGUCUACAGUUUAAAAACACUUCAUCAGGCAGUAUUGUAUCAAUAUGACUUCGUUUCGUUCUAAACUAGGCCCCAGGGCAGGUGAUUUUUCUAAUUAUAAAUUCAUGCUCCGACACUAGCUAUCGACAACAUUUAACCAACUUUUAGCAAAUUCCAGAGUCAGCUGUAGGUGUCUAGCUGUCCUCUGUCUUUGAACUAGAGGUUUGGAUGGUGUAAGGAAUGUCAAGGAGGGUUUAUUUGUGCAGCCCCAGCAAUCAGAGACAUGUCAAUUGGUAAUAAUAAAUGCUUUAGAGGCCUUUUCAUCUUUUCACGAACGAGAUACAAAGUCUGGUGAGGCCCUGUAGUCUUGAUUUCCCGGUAGCUGCCUGUCUAGGAUAAUGUGAGGAAUAAGGUGCUGCACGAGGGACCAGACUAGGUCCUAGAUGAGAGAAUGAUGCCUGGUGCUUAAAUGUGUAGUCUGUAGCUAGCAUGAAGCCUGUUUGGUUACCAGCAGCUAGCCAUGCUAGCAACAUUGGGACCACGUUUUACUAACUGUUAGCUCUCAGAAUGUAUGGUUGGCCCCGUGGUGGUCUUCUAAUCCUUUAUUCACAUUUCUCGGGAAGGUUCUGACUUCUGGAUCUUGAGGCCCUUUUCUGUCUUCAAACUGGUAUGACCUUUUCUGCAAAGCAGACCCAAGAGAAACUCUUAAGACAAAGAAUGGACUUUAUCCUCCUGCUGAAUGACGAGAGCUUAUCUGGAGUAGAGCGUAGAAAUUUUCACUGCUCAUAAUUGUCAUUAAUUAAUAUGUAUAACCACGCAUACAAAUGCUUUCAAAGUAGUGUCUCAUAAAUGCGAACCUGUACACUAGCAGAUUUUUCUUUCUUAAAACAAUUAUGUACUAGAUUUAAGGAGCUAAAGAGGAUAGCAAUUAACAAAAAAACAAGGUCAGGUCCUGUGUUAAUGCCAAGGUAGAGCUGUCAGUGAGGCCAAUGAGCUCAGAUAUAGUGCCAUAAAAAUUACUAACAUGCAAUGACAUUUUACAGGGAAGGUAACACUAAGAUCUUACAUAAUUCCUGUGCUUAUUUUAAUAACCAUACAAUGAAUAUUUUUUAAGAAGCUACACUCAAAGGUGGUUGAAGGAAUUGUACUCCAGUGGGUAGAUAGAUGGCUUAAUUUUUUUUCUUAUCUUUACAAAUGCUCAAAGAUAUUCUAAAGGCCAAUGCUUUGCUGCAUGAAACAACCAUGCUGCAGAAAAUUACUACUUGCAAUCCAAGCAGUAGGUGCAAUUGGUGAUCAUGCCGUGAAGAAAAAUGCAUAAACGUUGCUGUUUUUUUUUUUCCUUCACCCUGGGAGAGUAAACCCACAUAUUUCAGAAGGAAAGAAAAAUCAAGAAAAGGAUAUCCUCACUGCUUAACAAAAUAGCUGUGAUUCCUAGGGCACAUCCCUGUUCAAUCUCCUUGGAUAGUAUACGUCGCAGGAUAAAUAGGAUGCCAGAGCUGAGGCAGAGUUGUGGGGAUAGAGAAAAUGAGAUUAACGAAAUGUUCUCCGUGGACGCUCCUGUCUGGAUGCCAUGUGUUCCACUAGGAAAGGAUGAACCAAUGUAACGACCAAGAGCCCUCCAGUUCAGCAAUUACAGGACAAAAGGCAUCUAGAGAAUUCAUGCUUGGAGCCAAACCAGAACGCACUUUGCCAUGUGUCAUUCACUAGGGCACUAAAUUCAUAGGCAGUGAUAUUUAAAAAGAGACUUUGAACUGUGGAAAACAGGUAUUAGACAUGCUAUACAAAUAGAUCCUCUGGUAUUUGAAUAUUAUUUAUAGACCAUGAUUUUUGUACACACUAAGUAUGUCAGAGCCUGAAGAGUUGGCUCAGUUAUUCCUGCUGCUCUUGCAGAGGACCCAGGUUUGGUUCCCAGGACCCAUAAGGUGGCUCACUUGUAACUCCAGUCCCGGGGGAUCCAGCACCUUCUUCUGACUUCCAAGGGCACAAGACAUGCGGUACACGUGUGUGUGUGUGUGUGUGUGUGUGUGUGUGUGUGUGUGUGUGUGUGUGUGUGUAUACACAUACAGGCAACACACUCUUGAUAUUUAAAAUGAAAAUAAAAAGCUAAAUGUGUCAUGUGAUGCAUUUUGGAAACUGCACCUGAGGCAGAGGAGCAGAGAGACCAUGGCCUUUGCUCCAGCUGCAUCACAACAGCUACAGUCGGUCGACAACUCUCUCCAGGUCACAGGAGACACUCGCCUGGAUAAACAAUUGUUCAGAGACCAGAAAUGAAUAGAACAAUGUCAUUUAAGGUGGGAAAGAUGGAUCCCAGUCAGCCCACUAACUUACUGUGUGGAAGGAAAUGAAGACAGUUAGCACUGUGGACUGUGAUAGAAAGUUGACAUAGUAAUUUUUUGUUUGCUGUAACUAUUAGUGAAAGACAACCUUCUACAUAUAUGUAUUCAUAUUUUCACUCAAAUUUUCUGGUAAUUAGCUUUUAGAAUAUUUAUAGAAAUCUUCCGUCACAGGUUGGGAAACAAGAUCUGGUUCUUAGCCAUGGGUGGCUUGAGAGGCAUUGGUGUAGACCACGGCUGAAUCGUAAUUAUUUUUGAAAAUCCUAUUUUCAGAGUCCAAGAUCAUCUGUUAACCCUUUUCUUUUUUCCCCCUCAAACAAAGAGUAGGCGGCAUCUGAGAGUUUGAGAUCCGUAAUGAAAUACCAAGCUGAGCCCUCCCGGACAAGGAAGGAACUCAUAAAAAGGAAGUUUUGUGAGUUGUUGAUUGAUUAAUCCUAAAUUCCAGAGUCAAAAAUCUUCAUCUCCUCAUGUCUCCUCUUGGGGGCUUGCUUUUACUUAGCUCUCUUUAAUCCUGUAAUCCAUCCUGUCUUCUGAUUCUUACUCUACAAAAUCAUAGUGGUGUCAGGUUCCAGGAAGAACAUGUGGGUUUCAUUUUGUCAAAAACAACAUUCAGCUUUCUGCUGCUUGGAAUCGUUGAAAUGCAGACUCAAGGCAGAGGGCAGAAACUUGCUCUCACAGGGAGUGUUUUGUUUUGUUUCAGGACAGGGCCUCACUAUGUAACUCAAGUUAGAAUCUAAUUCAUGGUCCUCCUGCCUCAGCCUCCAAAGUACUGAAAUUACAGAUAUGAGGCACCACGUCUGACUUUUAAUGAGCUUUGGAGAACAUUUUUCAUACCUGUCAAAAAUCAUUCUUCCAGUUAAAGUUAUGUAAAAGCUAAAGUUAGCUGGCAUUUCUGAACUGAGUCCAACAGAAAACUAUGUGGAGGGCCUGGGGGAUGCUUAGUGGAUAAAAGCACUUCCUGUGCAAGAAUGAUGACCUGAGUUUGAACCCCAGGACCAUCUUCACACACACACACACACACACACACACACACACACACACACACACACACACACAGAGAGAGAGAACAAACAGAGACAGAGACAGAGAGACAGACACACAGAGAGAGAGAGAGAGAGAGAGAGAGAGAGAGAGAGAGAGAGGAAUAAUAAAUAAAAUAUUUUUUAAGAACAGUGUGAAGACCCUAGGGUAAAGUGUUUGUUUGGAUUUUUUUUUAAUUUGGUUUUUUAUUUCACUGAAUUCUUAAAUGUGCUUAGAUUUGUUUUAUUAAAUUCUUAACUACGAGCUGAAACAAGCUGAAAGCGAGGGCACCCACCUGUCUUUUAAGUGAUGCUAUAACAAAGUCAGGGGUGUGGCUUCAGCCGAGUCAAGCUCUGGUGAAGGGGGACAGAGAGUGAGUCUUUAAAAGGACCCUUUAAUUAGAGCACAGAAUAGUAAAUGUUAAUGGCAUCAUUAGUCAAUAAUUUAGAGAAACAUUGCAUUUUCCUGUAUGACUGUUGAUAAAAUGGGAGCAGAGACUCUGCGGAGAAAACGCCUCAUGCAAAAACCUCCUGAAAAUUGAUAGAUUUUACUUUAAUAAACAGUUCCUCUAAACUAUCCCCAAUUAUAAUUUGGAACAGUAUAAAUUAAAAAAGAAUGUAUGGCAACUAUUCAUUACAUUUCUCGCUGCUUUGACCAGAUGCUGACAAGAAGCAGCUAACGGGAGGGCGGGUUUCUUCUGCCAGGGAAGCCGGGGGGUAGUGGGCUGCUCUGUAGCCGCAAGAGCGCAGAGCAGCUUGGGAGAGGUCAGACCAGCGCAGGCUGUGGCCCAGGACCUCCUCCCCCGGAGGUCUCCACAUUCUGAAGAUCCCAGCAUCUCUCUAAACAGCACCACCAGCUGAAGACUGAAUGUUCAAGUAUAUGAGCCUGUGAGGGACAUUUCACAAAACAGUAAGCUGAUGUUGAAAGAGAUAAGGUGGAGCCAGCAAGGUGUUUGCUGCCAAGUCUGAUGACCUGAGCUUGAACCUGGGGACCUACACCAUGGAAGGAGAGAACUGACUCCCACAAGUUGUCCUUUGAUCUGUGUGUGUGUGCUGUGACACACUUUGUGCCCCCAAAUGAAUAAAUAAUAAAUAAAUACAAUUAAAAAAACAAAGGGGUAGGCACUUUACCGACUAUAUUCAGAAAUACAAAUGCUGCCGAGGACCAAGUAUUGUAGUAGGACUUUCUUGUAGGACUUUCUUUGGAUCACCAGCCCCCAAAUAAUGACAUGGAGACUUAUUAUUAAUUAUGAAAGCUUGGCCUUUAGCUUAGGCUUGUUCCCAACUAGCUCUUAUAACUUAAAUCAACCUGUUUCUAUUAAUCUACCUUCUGUCGUGUGGCUCUUUACCUCUCCUCCAUUCUGUAUGUUCAACUCGCUGUAUGUCUAGCUGGUGUGUCCUGCCUCACCAGAUUCUAAUCCUGAGUUUCUCUCUGCCCCGAAGUCCCACCUAUUCUCUCCUGCCUAGCUAUUGGCCAUUCAGCUCUUUUUUAAAUCAAUCAGGUGCCUUAGGCAGAUGAAGCAAAACAUAGACACAUCUUCAUACCAUGUAAACAAAUAUCCCACAACAAAGUGUAACUCACUGUAUAAAGAUGGUUUAAAGUCUAUAGGAAAAACAGUGCUGUAAAUCAAGUUAAAGAAAACAGGAGAAAGUGCUUAUAAAUGACAGGUGGAGGGAAAGAAUGAGAGAAAGGAGGGAGGAAAAAGGUGAGCAGGCAGGCGAGAAGGAAAGAGGAAUGAGGGAGAAAAAAAUCCAAGGUCAGGUGUGCUGAGGCAGGAAGACUGCCACAGUAUUGAGGCAAGCUUAAGCUACACAGUAAAUGCUACUAUACACGUAGCCAGGGCUACGUAGCAAGACCCUAUCUCCAAAAGCAAAAGUAAAGCAAAAUCACAAGAUUAAAUAAAAAGCAAGACAGGAAAGAAAAAUAGGGAGCAGAGGAGAUUUUAGUUUGACAUUGCAGGGAAGGGGUGCUUUCUUCUAAUACAGUCAGCUUUAUUGAGAUGUGACUUGUACUUAAUAAAGUAUGUACAUUUUAAGUAUACAGUUCCAGAUUUUAACACCUAUUGCAAUGAACAUUUUCAUUGUAUGCAUUAGUGGGUUCACUGUGAUAUUUCCCUACAUGAAUGCACUAUGCAUUGUUUGUAUCAACCCACCUUGCUACUAAUCCUGUAUGUCUCCUCUGCAACUCUUCCAGCCCUUCUUUUACUUUAAGGACAACUUUAAAAAAUAGUUUCUGUACAAAACAUAGAUUGUGUGGCACUUGCCUUUUUGUGUCUUCUUUAUUUUUUGUUUUACUUUUUAAAAUAUAUGUUUAUUUUUAUGCAUAUGAGUGUAUUGCCAGGAUUUAUGUGUGUGCACUACAGGUGUGCCUGGUAGCCACGGAGGCCAGAAGAGGGCAUCAGAUCUCUGGAACUGGAGUUAACAGAUGGUUGUGAGCUACCAUGUAGGUGCUAGGAACCAAACCCAGUUCCUCUGCUGUGGGAUAACUCAGCCCUAACAGGCUGCCUGAGGGCCUUGACAAGGGGUCCGAGUGGUGGUGUGAGAUGACCUGGACCAAUGAGGGAGAGCCACAUCACAUCAACAGAUGCCUACACAACAGACCCCUCCCUGGCAGGAUGGAGGGUAUAUAAGGCUUGCUCCUUCCGGAAUAAAUUGAGCUUGUUGUUUGCUACCUGACUCCCAGAGUCCAUGUCAUUGAUGACACACCUUCUCACCUACCUCCUCCCCUGUAGCCUGAUGCCAUGCCUUCUCACCCCCUCUCCCAAGGGAGCCAUUAGGACCCAGUGACACACUGCAAGAACAGUGAGUGCUCUUAACUGUUGAGCUAUCUCUCUAGGCCCUAUGUCUCAUUUAUUCAGUUCUAUUCAUUUUGCAGCAAAUGACAGAACUUUAGUGUUUGUGUGUGUGUGUGUGUGUGUGUGUGUGUGUGUGUGUGUGUGUCUGUGUGUGUCCACAUUUGUAUUCUUGUGUUUGUGCAGGUGCAUAUGAAUGUGUAUGCUUGCACAUUGUCAAAAGUCAAUGGUGGGUGUGUCUUCCUCAGUUGCUCUCCACCGUAUUCUUUGAGACACUGAACUUGGAGUUUACUGUUCAGCUAGCUAGGUUAUCCAUUAGGCCUCAGGGAUGCAUCCUCCUGUCUUUGCCUCCCCAGCUCUGUGGAGGAGAGAUGCCCCCUUCUUCUGGCUGUGAAACCAGAUGUUUUGUUUCCUUCUGACAUCUAGUGUUCUCCCUUCAUCCAUGACCUCAUUUUACACUGCAGGUUCUUCUUGGUGGAGGAGUAAGUAAAUACUAGGUACCUCUAUUUGGUAAUCCUUCUCUAACAAUUUUAUUAAAUUAAAAAGCAUACCUUUUUAUGAAUUUAUAUGUAAAAAAGCUGAAUGAAAUGGUCAAAAAGAAUCAGUAGUGUUUAUCUCUUAUGACAGUUUUGAGUGUAGAAUUCUACAGUUUGCCACAAUGUAGAACCUGGGGAGGGAGGCUCAAUGAGGGAUUGUCUAGAUUACGUUGACCUGUUGCCAUGCCUGUGAAAGAUUUUCCUAGCUGAGUUUAUUGAAGUGGGAAGACCUGCUGUCUUAGUGUUUUUAUUACUGUGAAGAGACACCAUGACCACUGUAACUCUUAAAAAGUAAACAAUUCAUUGGAGUGGCUUGUUUACUGUUUCAGAGUUUCAGUCCAUUGUCAUCAUGACAGGAUCAUGGCAACGUGCGCCCCAUAGGGACACACUUCCUCCAACAAGGCCACACCUCCUAAUAGUGCCACUCCUUUGGGGGGCCAUUUUCUUUCAAACCACCACACCCAUCUGCUGCAGGUAGCACCAUUCCCUAGGGAGGGGUUUGACUGCAUCAUAGUGGAGAAAGGGAGCGGUGGGUGUGACUAGCUGCUUUAAAUUCUCGCCACUUGGACUUCCCUGCUGUGUUAGACUGUAACCUGAAAUGGCGAGUGAAAACAAUUGCCCCUAACUUACUUUGGGUGGCAGGUGGGUGGCAUUUUAUCACAGCAACAGAAACAAAACUAAGGCAUCUCUGCUCUGGUUGUGUUGGUGGUACUGGUGCUGGUGGUAUGGUAAUGGGUGUGUUGUUUCCCUUUUCAUCUCUCACUUGUGGUUUUUUUCCCCCUUGUUUGAAUUAUUUUCACUUUUCUAAAACAAAAAAAAAAUUAAAAAUAUUAUUGUAUGUACAAUAUUACUAACAUUAUAAAUGGCAGCUAACCUUAUAUACCACAUACAGGAGUAGAAAUUGAAAAGUAUCUCACAGUGUGAUAGUUAAAGAAAAUUUUGAGAGAUUUUUUGCCUAUUCAACUUGGAAACUGCAUUACCUUUUUUUAAAAAAAAAUAUAGUUUAUUCAUUGAUUCUUUGGGAAUUUCACAUCAUGCACCCCGAUUCCACUCAACUCCUUGUCCCCCCACAUCCUCCCCCUGCCGCUGCAGCACCCCCCAUAGAAAAUUUUAAAAAAUCGAAACAAAACAAACCAACAAAAACAAGAACAAAACAGAACAAGCAGAAAAACCUCUUUGCUUUUUCCUUCCCGCCUCUCCAACACUUCAUUUGUCCUGGUGGCAUUGGGAGCUGUGGUGUGUCACACAGUGUACCCUUUUGUCACAUCCUCAUCACUAGCAAAUGUUCAUUGCCAUGAGUCACUGGUCUGGUUCAAGACCUCCAGUUUCUGGUACAUCAUCAUCAUCUGGGAUCUCCCUCGGCCACCCCAGCCACUCAGAGUCAUGGAGAUCCUGCAGGUACUGUUCCACAGGACCAGUCUUUUCAUGAGCUCCAGCAGGUCAUAGAUGGGGUAGAUGUUAGGGUGGGCCAACCCAAGGCCCAGCUGUGGGCCUGGGUGGUAGCUGAGCUGGUCAGUCCAGGCCACUAGGGCCACCUACCUCAGGUAAGGGGGCAAAGCCAGUUCCCCUACACUCAUGCCAUCAAGGUCAGUUCACCCUCACCUGGGGUGAGGAGUGGGGCCAUCUCUCUGGAGUGCAGGUUCCAGCUCUCCCUUGAGGAUCAGGGCCAGCUCUCCAGCUUUCCCUGGGCCAGUAGAGGGCAAGGCCGGCUUAACAUGGCCUUCUGAUUUCAUCACGCACGGUUCCCAUGGCCCCUUGAGGUGACACAGGCCACAGACAUCAAUACAGACCCCAGCCGCUGCUGGACCACGGACCCAGACAUGUCCCUCGGCAGCAGCUUGGGCCCAACUGUAUUGCUUUUUUGGCGACCACUGAAAAUGGAUGUUUAUUCACUAAGGCGUGAAUGCAUUUUCGCUGGUGUACAGUACUAUCAGAUUGCAAUUAGAGCUGACUUCAAUAUUCCCAGUACAAUCAGUUUUGAAGAAGGCCAGGUAGCAGAAGCUUCCCCUCCUCUUCUUGAGUAUACAAUCAGACUUUCUAUCCCACCCUCCCUGCAAUUAGACCCAAGGUCUGAGUCUAGUGAUGCUGUUUCUAAUUCAAGGCUUUCAACAAGCAGGAAUACCCUCUUCACAGCCCCAUUUUCGUCCACUGGUACAUGAAAGACCAAAUGUCUAGUGACUGGCAACAGAUGAUAAACACAGAAGACAAAGUGAACCCUGGUCCCUGACUCACUGUGUAAAUCAUUAUCUACCGCCCAAUAGGAAUACCUGUGUUGGUUUGUUAAGUGUACAAGACAUAAACUAUUUUGGAUAAGUUAUUAUACACUUUUAGAUCUGUUUAUCUGCAGUGUCAUUCAGUUGGAUUGUAACACCCUGAGUAACCAACCCAUGAACUGACUUGGUCACGUACUUAAGUUACUUUUCUUUGCAAGUUAAGCGUGGCUGUGGAAUGUGCUUUCUUCCCGUAGCAUGGCCUGAUAGUGGGUUCAGAUGAGGUACUGCAUCAAAAAGGAGCCGUGCCAGGUAAGCCGUUUGCUGUUUCUCUGUCUCUCUGUCUGUCUACUGGACAUAAAAGGCAGAGCCUUGUGAAUGCCAGAUACACUCUCCUCAUUAGGUCUUAGCUCCCCAGUGCAGCUUGUGAUGGUGAACUUGCAGACAUCUCAGUUUUCUUGUUGAUACUAAAAUUCUUCUUCCAGCUGAGGAUUUUACAGCGUCACCCAGAAUCUGUUUGCCCUCUAUUGUUUUAACUUGAAUUCCCCUAUUUUCCACUGUGACCUGAUGGAAGACAGCGCGUUCAAAUGAGUUCUUUGAAGAGACCAACCAUGUUUCUCGGCUUCUCAUUUUUAUGUUUUGACCUUCUUAGCCUCUAAAGCAUGUAAUCCAAAACUUCAUUACGAUAUAGUCUUUCACACUGGUGCAACUCUUUUAAAAAUUAAUUCAUUUACCCCCCCCCAUGUAUGUGCAUGUGCAUGUGCGUGCGUGUGCACAACUGCAUGAGUCAGUCCUCUCCUCCUUCCAGGUGGGUACCAGGGACUGAACGUGAAUCCUCAGGCUUGGCGGCAAACCACUGAGCCCCUUCUCCAGCCCCUCAACAUCGCCACAUUGUCCUAUCCUCUUUUCUCAGAGCAGCAACCUCAAGUUCACAGGGGCUGUGGAGACGAUGUCCAUGCUUACUUACUCUUCUCCGAGGACUAUCAUGGGGUAUGUGUGUGUGCGGGCAGGGACUGCUGAAGAGGUUGCUGUCCUUGGCCAUUGUCCUUCAGAUAUCUGAGUAUGGCACAGUUGUUUUUCACUAAGCAGUGUAAAUUCCUGACGGGUGGCUGAAGGAGGAAUUAAGUCUGCUCAUAAAUGCUAAUACAUUUCAUUCAGUAUCUCAAACCAGAGAGAUAAGUGUGAUAUCCAAGCCGAAGGUAUUAAACCUGUUUGAAUUUCAUAAGCAUCUCAGAGCAUCAGCCUCUCUGGGGGGUGCUGGUGCAGGCCACGGAGGAAGUCCUGUGGGAGUUCCACACAGCUUAUGUGUCCCAUAAUAAUGAAACCAUCAAGAUGAUGCCAAAGAAGAGCCUUUGGUAACAUAAAAUAUUUGUAUGACAAAUAUUUCAAUGAAAAAGGAAGUUAUAUACACAGUGUGAUCCUGUAUUUGUAAAUAAAAACAUGCUUUGAUGUGUUCAGUAAAUAAACAUUAAGACCCUUCUAUGUAGGUAGCAGACAUUACAGACACUGGUGUGUGUGUUCAUGUUAAAGCAGAUUCUAAUGUUAUUUUACAUUUUCCAGUUUACAAUGAAUAUGUAUUAAUGUAUAAACAAAACAUCACUAUUAGAUUAAGGGUUUUUUUAAUUACAAGAAAAGGCUAAUGUCAUAAUAAUGAGGUUUAAUAAAGUAUGCUGAAGAAGCAUAGGUUAUUCUGGCCCUGUGUUCUGCCGUGACUCACCAAACAUGCCCUGUACUGUUUAUUUCUUGUUCUUCUAUUUCACUAUUAAAAUGAACAGAUGCAUUUCCCAUCACAUGGAGCCCGUGGAAACAUGCCAACCAUUUUCUUAGCAACCGAACUCCUGUCUUGUGCACUGUGCAUGUUAACUAAAACAGCCUGUUGACGGCUUAAAAUAAACCUGCCUUUUUCCAUUUAGCAUUUUAUCAAAUGAAUGGAAUUUUGUUUGCUGAUGAAUUUAGUUCAGCUUCAAGGGGAUUUUUCUCUUCUUCAUGGGGAGGCUGGAGAAUCAGAAUUGUCAUGCCAAGGAAUGAAAAGCAAGCUUAGGGAGAAAAGACAGGCUGACAUUGAUUUAAGUUAUGCUCAUAUCCCCGAGCAGUGGACUCGUUCUUAUGGUUCAGGAAAAAAGAGACUGGACAAUAGGUAAUUUGAGAAGGGAGGAAGGAGGAGUUAUCAGCAGGGUGGAGGGCUGGUAUUUUCAGAUAGAACUGACUCUGCAACUUGGAAUAAAUUGACGUUUUGCUUGAAUAUAAAAAUAAGUCUUAGUCUACAUGUAUAUGUAGACAUCUUGUGUGCAAAGACUAUGGGAAUAUUUCCUAAAUAAGAAAACUCUAAAGUGCCUUUGAAGACUGAAUAACAGAACCACGUCUGUACUUGAGUUAGCAGAGACCUAACAAAGCAAUGGAAAAAAGCUUCACGGAACGCGUGAUGUCCAAGCAGGUUCCCUCUCGUCUCCCGCUGUCUGCUCGUGUGGAAGCGAACAGUUAAAAACCUGCACCAGUGGCAAGCUGCCGCACUGUGGAGAUUUCCACUUUCUUUUCCCUGGAGCAAAUUCCUAACCGUUACCAUCAUCAAGCAAUGAAAAUUGCUGACGUAGCUGUCUAGUUUUACAUUUUCCCCCUGGAAUUAAAGACACAACAAAUGAGAAACACAUUCCUGUUAAAUCCACUUCUUUCUGACUCCUGCUUUACUUGUGUUUUAGGAAAUAGAUAAUUUUCUUGUGUUAUAUUUAACAUUAGGUAAAACUUGUAUAAUAUUGACAGGCAUUUUACAUUAAAUAUUGUAAAAGGGCAAGCUGCUCCCACGUUUUGACAUUCUUUUGUUGAGAGUCAGAAUCCUUUGCUUGCGCUGGUUCCCACACUGGUUAGCAGCUUUGGAAAAUGUCAUCACCUCUGUAGGCUUUGUGUUUGAAAUAGUUAAUAUAUUUUCAAGACUGUCCAAUUUAAUUUUCUUUUUGAGACAAGGCCCUACCUUGUCCAGGUUGGCCUUAGACUCACUAUGUAUUUGAGGCUGGCCUUGAACUCCUGACCCUCCUAUCUCCACAUCCUCCAUCAUGCCUAGCUUAAUUUUUAACUUAAACUUUACCUCAAAUAUCCAACUUUGUAUAUUUGCAGCUAACCUGAUGAGGGCAUUUCUUCCUCUGUGGAAGGAAACGUACCCCCUCUGCUGCUAGCUGCAUAAAGGACACCCAAGCCCACAGUAGGACCUCUCUGUGUGACUCACUGUUCUUCAGAAGGUGCCUGGGGAGGUUUGUGAAUUAUGCCCAGGUGGGCUGAAGGUAGAUGCUGCUUAAAUCCUGCUUAAAACUCUACCGUCCAGCAUCUGAGCAACCUCCGCACCCUGGGACAAAACUCAGCACUUCUGACCGCUGAUUCAUAGUCAUUGAACCCUUCGCUCAUUUAAUAAUAGUCGACAUGGGCACAUAAACCGUACCUGCAGAAGGGACCUUGAUCUUAAACUUAACCGUUUCAUCAUGUUAUAUUUCUCAAUAGAAGCCUUCAAAUACUGACAUGUAGGGUGGUUAUUUUGUGUCGAUGUGUUUGUUAUGGAUGGCCUCAUCCCUACUCAAUGGCCCUAGACUUCAUUCCAAGAGCCCUUGUGCUUGUUAGAAACUAUUGUUCUUUGGAUAAAAUUAUCUUCUUAUUUUAAAACUCAGCGAGCGUAAUACCAAUAAUCGUUUACUGGGGGCAUGCCCCUCAGUGAUUUUGUCUUAAGGUCUAGAGGGAAUUGAUUUUUAAUGUGAGCAUUCAGAUGUAGAAUCGGUUCUUCCUGAUGCCCUGCACUGGAGUGGAGAAGGACAUACCGCAACAGCAUUCAGAAAGAUUAAAUGUCUUAAUUAAUUAGCGAGUGAGGAGUAAGCCUCUCCGAGGUAGGUCCAGAGUAGCACGUGUUGGUGGAACUGUUCUAACCUCUCAACCUGAAAAGACCCAUUGGGAAGGCCAAGUCCAUAGAAGGUAGAGGAAGUGCCCAAGUUUUCUUCAUAGAGUAUCAGCCUUCAGCCUCCCCAGAUAAUUAUGACUUCACUACCUGGAAUCAUUAUUUUCCAUGUUCCAUGUUCUUGCAAUUUCAAGAAAUCCCAGAAACAAUAUUUUUAUAGUGAGACAAGUCCUUUGAAAACUCUGAACUUAAUUGCCUUAAGUACAUAAUAAGAUUGAAAUAUAGAUUCAGCUUCAAUUUAAUGGUCCAGGAUAAAUAAAAUUUGGUUGAAGAAUUUAGAAGUCUGAUUUCUAAUAUGCAAUUGAGAACAUAAAAUAUAAAGACUUGUUAAUAUGACACUGGAAGUUGUUAGGAUAAUUUAAGAAUGGAUCUUUCUGAAUGAAUUGGACAGGCUCUUUGACUUACAAUUUGGGGAUGUGCUACUGUACUUGCACAUAGGGAAUAUCUUGGGGAAAAUGCUUUGCUGUAAGAUUUUCCCCACAUAACUGAAAUAGCCCACUGAGAGUACCCACUGUGAACCUGACAUGGAACAGGCAAUACUUUCUUGGAUCUACAAUAGCAUGACUACCUGAAUAGUUGAGGUAAGGCAGUUGCAUACUUGUAUACAUGGAUAAUAAGGUAGAUAUUGAUACAUACAUACACACACACAUACACACACACAGGCUUCUUAUUUCCAUAUAGAGCAACAUAAACAGAAAUUCAGUUAUUAGGAAAAGAUAUUUUCCUAAGGCAGAACCUGAGGUUUACCGUCUAAUUCAGUAGCUACAGUAAUAUGUAUUUAAAUUUAAAUAUAAAUUUUGCGGGAGGGGAGGAUUCUUUGCUUUUUCGACAGGUUCUCAUGUAUCCCUGUGUAGCUGAGGAUGACUUUGAACUCCUAAUCCUCCAUGCUUCACCUCUCUAGUGCUAGGUUUACAGGUGUUCAUCACCACGACUCAUUUAUACAGUCCAGGCACACUAAGUAAGCAUUCUACCAGCUAAGCACAGCUAAGACCCCGGUAAACUUAAAGCUUAUCAUCUGCUUGGUUUCUCUAGUUUUUUUUUUUUUAAUCAGGUUUCAAAUCUCUAAUUGCCACAUAUAGAGAAUGGCUAUUGAAACAAUAACAUAGACUUAGAAUUCUCCCAUCAUUACAAAAAGUUCUACCGAACAAUGUUGAUUCAGAAGUUAGGGAAAUAUUUUUAAAUGCAUUUAAUUAGAUCUUACUAUUCUUGGUUUAGUUGUUAUGUAACCCUGACUGGUGGGAAUUCAUUAUGUAGACUAGGUUAGCCUCAAAUUCACAGAUAUCCACUUACCUCUGCCUUCCAAGUGCUGGGAUUCAAGGUGUACACCAUGCCCAGCCCUGGAGCUUGUUACUCUUACCCUUACAAUAAAUUUUUCCCUAAACCAAUUUCUGUUGUACAUUACUAAAACCGGGCUAUUUUAUCAUGCUAUCCACAUAGUGAUUCAAUUUCUAAUUAGAAGUUGAUGAAGUCCUUUCAUGCACCACAGUAUCAUUUGCACCACAUUUUCCAGCUGCAUUAAGAAGCUGAAUUAUCUCAUAGAAGAUAACAAAAGACCCAGAAUUACUCAACCGUCUAGAAAAGUAAAUAUAUACGAAGGAUGUAUAUGUGUGUGUGCACAUGUGUGAGCAUGUCCAUGUAUGUUUGUGUGUGUGUGCAUGUUUAUGUAGAUUGCAAACUAAAGUUGAAGACCGUGUGCUUUUGUGAUAUACCAUGAAAUGCUGCCUGUACUCUGCUUAUAUACGUUAUGUCAUCACCAAGAGGCUAGUUAAAUCCAGUGCCCAUCACAAACUUCUGACCUUCACAAAGGAAGCAUUAGAGCGAACCCUUUAAGGAGCUCAGUUGGUCAGUGCACACUGCUCAUGUUUCCUUGGGCAAAUAAAGUUGCUUGGCUAAACCUGCUGCCAAGGGAAUGGGGAAAUAUGAACCCCUCACAAAGAGCAGCAAACACGGAAGACAGUAAUAAAAACUGUCACACACAAAGGCCUUCCAGCAGAUUGCUGUCUAUAUAGGGGUCUCCAAACGAACAGAACAUGUAGGAACAGUAAAGAUAUAGAAGGAAGUAUAUUUAGGGAAUUGUCCUGUGUGGUGAAAAGAGCCAGAACACAGUCUAUCAGGUAGAGACCUGGCCAGGGGUUCCUAUGUGAUGGUAGGUGUUGGGUGAGUCCUGCUGUCUGAAGGUCUGAGACUCAAGAACUCUCAGGGAAGCUUAAGAUGGGAAUGAGAGAAAGUGCCAUCCUUUUGACUUUUCUGCUCCGUUAAGACCUUCAGUGGAUUAGAUGUUGCUGCUUAGUAAGAAAUGGUCUUCAGCCACUGACUCAAAUGCUAGUCCUUUCCAGAUGCACCACUGAGGGACACUCACAGACACAGCCUCACAGGCAAUCUCACAGGUGUGCACACCCACACCCACAAUCACAUCCUCACAGGCACACACACACACACACACACACACACACACACACACACACACACACAUGUUCAAGCUUCACAGAAGCUCCCUUGCAGGCACACUCUCAUACACACAAGCACAUACACUCAGUCCUCACAGAAACUUCCUCACAGACUCUCUCUCUCUCUCUCUCUCUCUCUCUCUCUCUCUCUCUCUCUCUCUCUCUCUCGCUCUCUCUCCUUACAGAAGCUCCCUCAGAGACACAUUCUCAUACACACACACACACACACACACACACACACACACACACACACACACACACAUGCACACACACACACUCACAGGAGCACCUUGUAGAAAUACCUCAUGGGUACCCCCAAGUAGCUUUACUUUAACUUGGUCAUGCUGUGACAUAAAGUUAACCAUCAUGUACUCUCUCUUUUGUGUAUCCUAUUAUAAUGCAGCUGCUUCCUAGAUAGUAUUUUUAUCUCCGACUAGAAAAGGAAGUCUCAUUUUUAGAACAGCUGAGGUGUUUGGUUCUCCCACAUUAUCAGCAACACACUGCUGUGGUUUAGUGUCUGUCACAAGCCUCGGGUCAGCUGCACUGGUUGCCCUGUUGAUGUAUCUACAUCUGUCAAAUGAAUACAGAAUAGAUGUGGUUCUGACUCCGCUUCUUCUAGUCACUCCACACCUCACCAACAGUGAGAUGUCUGCUUUUUUAAAACUUGAGUUUUUUGGUAAGAGGUUUUGUUCCUGGCCAUAGGGCUCAAAAGAGAAUUGACGACCCUGGAAAUCUUUAAGUAAUAGUUAUUCCCUGGGCAUUUCAGAGAAAGAUUUCCUGGUUACUUUAUUCCACAUAGAUGAGUUGAGCUGACGUAAUCUUUUAGAAGAGGCUGGUAUUAGUUGACACGGUGCCCAGGAACCACACCUGUCACACGGGUCUUUUUAUCCCAGUGUUAGAGUUACUAAUACAGCACACAAAGGCGAAAAUGCCUGCUUCAGGUCUCACAGUUCAUACAAGCCAGAGCGAGAGUGGGAGCUUGUCUUCUCCAUCCCAGAUUUACACAUGAAUCAAGUAAGCCUCCUCCUUCUGAUUUCAAUAGUCUUAGGUGAUAUUACUAUAUUUGCCAGUCCAUCUGCCAAAGACAUUACAUACAUUCGCUCAUGUAUCCUUAAAAUCACCCUGUGAAAGAAGUGUUAUUUCUUACUACCCUAGGACUGAAGAGGUAAAGCAUAGAGAAAUAAAUAUGGCACAUGUGUUAUUUUGCUAAAGAGCGUUAUAGCCAGAAUUUGAAGCCUAGUCUGACUGAAGUGCCCCUGUUCACACUGCUUGUCCUCGGUCUUUUACUCUUGCAUCAAAAUUUCAGGUGCCUUGAAAUGAAGAGAGAGACAGUAAACCCAGGAAAGGAAGCAGAAUGACUUGUGAGCCAGUGUGUGGUGCCAGAUAAUUGUCUACAUAUUAAAAUGAGAAUUAGAAAAGAAAAUCACUUAAUCGUGAAAUAAAAAUGGACUCUUGUCCCAGUAGCUCUAUUACUAAUUUUGCUUUUCCGAUCUAAUUUUUGUCUUAAGCAUGCUUAUUUUGAAUCUAAUCCAGUUGAAGCAAGCUUGUAAUUAAAGUGGCAUUUACUACGAUGGACAUUUUUCAUACUGAUUAGAUGGGAAUGUCUAGAGCAGAGAAAGUCCCUCGGGAUCCUGGUACAUGGAGUGUCUUGAUCACGUGGUAGAAACGGGCAGCUGAACUGCCCCUUGUGGGAAGACAGCAUGAGUCACAGGCAUUUUCAGAUGAAAAGCCACAGCAAAGACCAGGGAGUGGAGUUCUCUAAGGGAUGUUCGUGUCAUUAGCUUUUAAUCAGUUGAUCGUGCAAAGAGACCGAGAAAGAAAACGAUUGAGCGAUCCCACGUCUUGAAGCCUGGUUAUAAAACUUGGGAUUCUGUGCCUAUGGUUAUAUGUUUCCAGAAAACUAUCCACUUCCAAGACAUAUUUUUAGCCUAUUAUUUAUUCAGUUCUUUAAAAUAUAUUGAGACUUGGUCUGUGGCCAAAGAUAUAACCUAUCCUGGAAUCAUGUUCCAUGUCCUGAAGAAAUGAAUGUAUUCUCUGCUACUUUGGAUGGAAUGUUCUACAGAUGUGUAUUAGUUCCAUUUGCAGUAUAAUAUGGUUCACCUCAGAUGUGUAUUUGAUUUUUCUGCCUCAAUGAUUGGUCCAUUAAGGAAAGUUAGGGUCUUUAUUAUCUCACUACUAUUGUGUCAGAUAUAUAUUAUAGCUUACAUAUCUAAUAUAUUUUUAGGCCUAAUAAUGUUUGCUUUAAAUACGUGAGUGGUCCCUUGUUGAAUACACACAUAUUUACAACUGUUAUAUCUUCUUGCUAGUUUAUCUUUUUAUCAAUAUGUAAUUACUUUCUGCCUUUCAAUAGUUUUGAUUUAAAGUCUACUUUAUCUGAGUAUAACUACUCCUGCUCACUUUGAAUUUCUAUUUUCAUGAUACGCUUUUUUUCCCCCCAACUUUUCACACAUACUUCAAAUAAACUUUACCAGUGAGGUGUGUUUCUUGUUUGCAGCAAACAGUUGGGUCUUGUGUUUUGGUGUGUGUGUGCCGGGGGUGCAGUCUAUGUCUUUUAUUUGGUACAUUUAAUCUAUAAUUUCCAUUCAAUACUAUUAUUGAUAAAUAAUAUCAAUAAUUUGUUUUUGUUCAUUGUGUUCUGCUUGUUUUGUGUAUUUUUCUUUCUUUUCACCUCUUUUACUAUAUCUGUUAUUUAAUGGUUUUCAUUGUGCUAAAGUUUGUUCUUCUACUGAGUUCUGGGUAAUUUAUGUUCUGUGAUAACAGUUAUCUUUUUGUUUCUAAUGUAAGAUUCUUUUAAGUAUUUUUUUUACAAAAUAUUUUGUUAUUAUUGUGUGUGUAUAUAAUAUGUAUAUAGGGGCAUGCAUGCAUCACAGUAUACAUGUGGAUUCCAAAGGACAACUUUCAGAAUUUGUUUUUUUUUCCUUCUGCUUUAAGUUCUUUGAAUAAAAUUCAUUCCAUUAGUUUUGCAUGCCUGCCUCGAGUAUCUAUUAUAAAGCUGAAUUGUUGGUAAUUCCCUUAGUUUAUCUUAAUCUGAGAAAGACAAUUUCACUUUCAGUUUUUAAGGAUAAUUUUGCUGGACAUAGUAUGCUUUUUUUUUUAAUUUGUGGGAAAACACCGUGUGUUUGUGUGAACAUAUAUGGAAGAUAAAGUGGGGUAUCGGAUUCUUGGAGCUGAAAUUACAAGCAUUUUAGGGACAUCUAACUUGUUACAUGGUGCUGGAAUCAAAAUUAUGGUCCUUGUGAUGUAUGUAGCAAGUACCCUUAACCAAUGAGGAAUCUCUCUAGCCUCCAUAAAGUAAGCUUUUUUUUUUUUCCUAGCAAGAUCUGCUGUAUGGCUAAUGAGCCUUCUCUUAAGUGCGACUUGACACCCCUUGCUGUUUUUAGAGGCUUCUGCUAAAACUUUUGACAUUUUGACUAUAAUGUGCUUUGCUGAAGGUUUGUUUGGGUCUAAUUGGAGGCUUUUGAGAUGCUUAACUCUAUUUACCUGUGUCUCUGAGGAUUUCAGAAGUUUAUGAAACACUUCAGAUUUUCAUUACCUAUUGAAAUUUCAUAGUAUAAAUGAAUAUUUGCUGAAUUAUAUUCCAAAGUUUUUAUAACCUUUAUUCAUGUUUCUUAUAAAAUUUUGCUUUACUAUUUUUCCUAGUCAUUUUUGCCUUAAUACAUCUAUUCAACUAGUUGUAUUUCUUUAAGAAGAAAAAAUAUAAUAGGGAACUUCCAUAACAACUAAGGUUCAGAAAUUAUUUCUUCUGCUUUUUCUAGUUUUUUAUGGAAGUUCUCUAUUAUAUUGUUCAUCUUAAAGGUUUUAUUAUUCUUUUAUUAAUUUGUGUGUAUUCGAGUUUUGCCUGCAUGUGCAUGUGUGCUGUGUGUAUGCAGUGCCUACAGAGACCAGAAGAGGGCAUCAGAUUCCUUUGGACCUGGAGUUUAUAGAUGGUUAUAAGCCACCUUGUGGAUGCUGGGAAUUGAACUUGGACCUUCUGGAAGAACAAGUACUCUUUUUUUUUUUUUUUUUUUUUUUUUUAAAAGAU